rnacentral:lncRNA from 1 species
AGCAGCUUCUCAGCCUCCUUGCCAGACAGGCGCCCGUGGUACCACCUGGGCCAGGCACAGGCGAGCACAGGUGAGGCUGGAGGCCACGGCCUGGCCAGGUGAGGGGGAGAGACCCACACGGAUAGGGCAGAAGGCUUAGCGAGACAUACGCAGACCUUGGGGGUCCAGGCAGCACCACCACCCGGGCCCCAGAGCUGCUCUGCUCGCCUUUCUGGCCCUCGCCCCACCCAGGAGCCGGCAGGAGGCAGGCGGGCGCUGCAGGGGCGGGCGGCCACCAGGUGGCGGCCUGGUCCUCAGCAAGGAGGGGCCAGGGGCCUCCCCAGACCAGGUCUCCUUCUCUGCAGAUGCAGCCCGCUGCAGUGGGGAAACUGAGGCUGGAGGAACCAGCUCAGCCCAGGGUACCAGCCAGGAGGGCAGGGAUGGGGCCAGGGGAGGCACCGGCUUCCCUGAGUCACCCUGGACUCCAGUGCCUGAGACCUGAAGGAAGGAGGCCUGAGGGAGGCAGGUGCAGGACCCUGUGCCCUGAACCAGUGCUUAGCAGACGCCGUCCCUCAGGAUGCAGGCACACGCACACACACACACACACACAUGCACACGCACACACAUGAACACACAUGGACACGCGAACACACACAUGCACACGUACACACGUGUGCUGACACGCGGAUGCUGGGCCAGGGCUCACCACUCCAACGCGGGGUCCUGGCAGCCCAGCGGGUACCAGAGCUCAAUGGGAACCCCGCUGCACUCCCCAGCUGCACCCCCAGGCUCUGGCAACACGGUCGCAGCCACGGAGGCCCUGCCUGUCCCCAGGGCCCUCACAGGGGAGGAAAGGGUCCUGCUGAGCCCCUGACUCAAUGAGCCCUCCCCAAGGGCCUCUCUAAAUAGUUCCUUCCUGCCCAGAGACCGCCCAGCACCACGUCCAACUCUCACCACCUUCCCAGGGCAUCGGCCCCCCGCACCAAGUCCUCGUGUCCAGGAAGCUGCCCACCGGUCCUCCAGGAGGCCUUCAACCAGACCCUGUCCAUGCCCAGCCAGGGCCCACCCACCUGACGGACAGCGUGAAGCCCCCCGGGCUGCUCUCACUGGGCCUGGCAAGGAAGUCCCCACGCUGACCUCUGGAUAGGAACAGCUUCUCCGCCUCCACCCUGCUGAUGUUGGGGUGAAACCACCUGGAGUGGGGAGAGCAGCCUCCACGGCCAGGAUCUCGGACUUCCAGCCUCCAGAGCUGAGGGAAGGAGCGCCUGCCCGCCCAGCUUAUGGUCACUGUUUCAGCAGCCCAGCUGCCUGACGACGGGUUCUUAUCUCCCAGAGGGCAGAAGCUGUUCCCCGCACUGUGGCGUCCCAGGUCCAUAACACUGGAAUUGAGACACUCAGUAGAGGGAUGGGGGUCGGGGGGAGGAGGGGGUGGUGCACAGGGAGGGGCCGAGAGGCCAGCGGGUGCCUGUGCGGCCCCUGGGAGCCGUGCUCCGUGUCCGGGGCAGGUCAGGAAGCUCGGGGGAUGUCACUGCAAACCUCGCGGCCCCAUGCAGGCAGAGGCUGGUGCUGCCGGCAUCUGGAGGGGAGGCUGAGGCUGCAGCCCUGCCCCUUCCUGGUGAACAGCCCCCCCGUCCCAGGACCUUCCUAGUCUGCAGCCCCCCAUGAGGUCAGGGCUGCCCCGGAGCCCACGUCCGAGAUCACAACUGCUCCUUACUUUUGUGGCACUGGACUCCGGAGCUCAGGACUACAUUGUACUCAGGCGGCAGCCCCAGAGCCCAGAAUGUCAGCAAAAAAGAGCCACACCCGUGAGUGACUGAGGGAGGGAGGGAGGGAGGGAGGGAAGGGGUGUGAGAGGGAGGGAAGGAAGAGGGGAGGGAAGGGGAUGUGGGAGGGAGGGAAUGGUGGUGAGGGAGGGAGGGAAGGAAGGGGGAGAGGGACGGAGGGAACGGGGACAAGGGAGGGAGGGAGGGAGGCGGCAGAGGAAGGAACUGAGGACGUGGGGCUCCCCCAGCCCUCUGUCUUCCCCAGCUGUGCUGUCCACACAGGGGCGGCUUCUGGACACCUGGCUCUUGGGCAUCUCCUGGCUGCAUAGAUGAUACCCAGGUGGGGCCUGCUGGCUCUAGGACCUCCGCCCCACGCUGGCCCGGCCUGGUUGUCAGUGGAAUCAUAACCUGUGCACGAAUGGGUGGGGGUUGCUGUGCCCUGGGCAGACCUUGCUCCGGCCCCCAUGGCUGGUCCAGAGGAGGAGGAAGGUUGAGGGCGGUCCUGCCCCCUCUGCCCCACAAAGGGCAGCUGCAGGGCUCUUUCUAGAAUGGAGGCCUCACCGCAGUCUCUGUUAAAGGCCUCCAUGACCAGGCUCAUGCCUAUAAUCCCAAUUACUCAGGAGGCGGGUGGAUUGCUUGAGCCCAGGAGUUCAAGACCAGCCUGGGCAACAUAGCCAGACCUCAUCUCACUUAAGAAGAAAUAAAAAAUAAAGGCCUCCACAGGCUUUCACCCCUGAGAAUGGAGCCAAGAUCUCCCCUCCUCUGCAGCACCCACAGGUCCUGGCUGGUCCCCCUGGGGACCCCAUCCCCGGCUCCAGCCCACCCUGGCCAGGUCCCUCUCCCGGGGCCCCAGCUCCUCCUCCUCCUUCGGGCCCUGCCUCCACUCCUUGCAGCUCCUGCCCCUCUGCUCCCCUCUGAGCACAACUUCUGGAAGAAGUUUGUAUGGCUGUGUGAUUUGUAAAUAGGAAUGAAUUAAAAUUCAUGGCCGGGU